UCCGGCUUAACGCCGGCGGUCUCCUUAGAGUGCCACGGCUUUACCCGGGGGCAACAUAGGACAGGGGUCGCGCUCGUUGCGGGACUUAACCCAACAUCUCACGACACGAGCUGACGACAGCCAUGCACCACCUGUGCACUGGCCCCGAAGGGCUGCCGUAUUUCUACGGCAUUCCAGUGCAUGUCAAGCCCUGGUAAGGUCCUUCGCGUUGCAUCGAAUUAAACCACAUGCUCCACCGCUUGUGCGGGCCCCCGUCAAUUCCUUUGAGUUUCAGCCUUGCGGCCGUACUCCCCAGGCGGGGCACUUACUGCGUUAGCGACGGCACCGGGAGGGUCGCUCCCCCCGACGCCUAGUGCCCAUCGUUUACGGCGUGGACUAC
rnacentral:misc_RNA from 1 species